rnacentral:lncRNA from 1 species
GGCCGGACGGUUGCAGAACGCUUCCCGGAGUUGGGCUCCAGCGUACGCGACGCACAGCACCAGAGUCGGGAAACCUACACUAGCCGUGUGACCAACCCCCAACCCCCCGCGGCGGACGAGGCCAAGGACGCCGCUUAACGUCACAGGGGGCAGCGCGGGGCCCGACGGGAGGGCGCGUCACUGCCGCGCCUGCGCAGAAUCCGGCGGACGCAGCGGGCGGGCGAGUUAGAUCCGGCUGCGGAGCACGGCGGAGGGAGCCGUGACCUCAGCACAGUCAUAGGGCUGGGCGUCAAUUCUUCCGGUCCGCCAGCCACAUUUCCGGCCCGCCUCCCCAACCCCCGCGCUCUGCUGCCCGGUUUCCCAGAAAUGGCUAGGGGUGCCUCCUCCUGGCGUCGCACUUGCGGGAGGCCGAGGACCCCGCAUCUCCGAGCUGGGCAGAGGGGAGGGGACUUCCAGCCGGCGGCCUCCCCCGCGGCUCGGGAAGUGGCCACCUGGGGGCCCGGGGUGGAAAUGGCGGGACUGCUGUUGCGGCCGAGCCCCCAGCCCGCAGCUAGCCGGUCGGCGGCUCUCGCCCCGAAGGCUGGGGGCAGAGUGCGGGGCAGGUACGCCGCGGCCGUUCCCUGUAGCUGCCCCGCCCGCCUGCACUUCGACCCGUGAAGCGAACCGCGGAAGACCCUCGCUCCCUGACUUUCUAAACUUUAAGUGUGCGCUAGGUGUUUGUUCUUUGUCUGGAGGCACAACAGUAACAGCACCCUCCCCUGCUUCCCGCGGCAGGGAGUCACGGGCUUGGCUUUUCUCAAAGUGUCCAGUGACACGAGCAUACGAAACCGUAAAGCGUUGCUGUGUCGCAAAUGUAAGUAACCGUUCUCCAGGCGCACGACGGCCCUGCCUCCGAGCUGGGCGGUGGUUUAUGGUGUGGCUGUGGAACUGUACCCGGUCCUGUGGGACGUACUGACCCGUGGAGAGACCUUUCCCUGGGGCAGAAGUGCCUCACCGUGAGGCCGAAGUCUCCGCGUGUGUAAUUUAAAUCAAUCCAAAUAAAAUUCCCUUUAAAGCAUCUGGUGGUGAGUUCGGAAAGCUGUUCUUUUAAUCACAUGGACUUGUGUCUAAUGUGCUGCACCAGUCUGGACCCCUGCAGCAGAGCCUCUCAGGCGGUUGUGUGUCCAGGCCUCGGGUGUCCAAAUCCCAUUCAGCAUUUGAUACAUUUUUUUGCUGGAACAUGUUUACCAUUUUAGUUUUACUUAUCACCUCACCUAGCAUAACAGUUCAGUGAGUGCGCACUAGAGGUUUGUUAAAAUAAUCAUAACUCCAAAAUUUUAGUUAUGGGCCUUUUUCCCUAUGAAACAUCGUUGAAAUAUGGGGAGGAGGGAUUCUUUUUUUUUGGGGGGGGGGCUUGUUUUGGUUUGGUUUGUUUUUUUUUGGUAUCAGGAGUUGAACCCAGGGUUGCUUAACCAUUGAGCCACAUCCCCAGCCACCCUCCACCCCACUAAGUUGCUGAGGGUCUUUGAAUUUGUAAUCCUUCUGCCUCAGCCUCCCUAGUUGCUGGGAUUACAGGCCUGUGCCACAACACAUUACAGGCUGUAAUAUUUCUUGUUAAGGAUGCUCUAUUGUCAAAUAAUUAUUGC